GACAGAGGGUGCAAACGUUGUUCGGAAUUACUGGGCGUAAAGCGAGUGUAGGCGGUUCGGUAAGUCGGAUGUGAAAGCCCCGGGCUCAACCCGGGAAGUGCACUCGAUACUGCCGAGCUAGAGUAUCGGAGAGGUUGGUGGAAUUCUCGGUGUAGAGGUGAAAUUCGUAGAUAUCGAGAGGAACACCGGUGGCGAAGGCGGCCAACUGGACGAAUACAUGACGCUGGAGAACUCGAAAGCGUCGGGGAGCAAACAGG
rnacentral:rRNA from 1 species